rnacentral:rRNA from 1 species
GGGCGUAUUAACAUGCAAGUCGAACGAGGAGCUUCGGUGGUAGCAAUAUAUCGGAGCUUCGAGUUGGGCGCACGGGUGAGUAACACGUGGGUAACCUGCCCUUGAGACCGGGAUACCCCCUCGAAAGGGGGGCUAAUACUGGAUACGCUCCUUCGGUCGCGAGACCUGAGGAGGAAAGGUGGCGCAAGCUGCCGCUCUUGGAGGGGCUCGCGGCCUAUCAGCUAGUUGGUGAGGUCAUGGCUCACCAAGGCAAUGACGGGUAGCUGGUCUGAGAGGACGACCAGCCACACGGGGACUGAGACACGGCCCCGACUCCUACGGGAGGCAGCAGUGGGGAAUUUUCCGCAAUGGGCGAAAGCCUGAUCCAGCCAUGCCGCGUGGGUAAGAAGGCCCUAGGGUUGUAAACCCCUUUCAGCGGGGAAGAUAAUGACGGUACCCGCAGAAGAAGUCCCGGCUAACUCCGUGCCAGCAGCCGCGGUAAUACGGAGGGGACUAGCGUUGUUCGGAAUUACUGGGCGUAAAGCGCACGUAGGCGGAUUUGUAAGUCAGGGGUGAAAUCCCGGGGCUCAGCCCGGAACUGCCUUUGAUACUGCAAGAUCUCGAGUCCGGAAGAGGUGAGUGGAAUUCCUAAGUGUAAGGUGAAAUUCGUAGAUUUAGGACGAACACCAGGUGGGCGAAGCGGGUCACUGGUCCGGUACUGACGCUUAGGUGCG